rnacentral:rRNA from 1 species
UACAGAGGUCCCGAGCGUUGUUCGGAUUCAUUGGGCGUAAAGGGUGCGUAGGCGGCUUCCUAAGUUUGAUGUGAAAUCCUGGGGCUCAACCCUGGAACUGCAUUGAAUACUGGGAGGCUAGAGUACUGGAGAGGAAACUGGAAUUUACGGUGUAGCAGUGAAAAUGCGUAGAGAUCGUAAGGAAGACCAGUGGCGAAGGCGAGUUUCUGGACAGUUACUGACGUGAGGCACGAAGGCCAGGGGAGCAAACGGG